rnacentral:misc_RNA from 1 species
GUCGCGUCAAUCGACGGCCGGUCGAGUCGAAGCGGUUGCGAUUUCCCAGUGCCACCGAAAACUCGGCUGGUUAGUGGUUUGUUCGAGUCGAAUGAAGGUCGAGUGAGGCUCGAGCGACCGGGCUUGGACACCGAUGCGAUUGAUCGUCUUCAAAGGCGCUUCCCUAUUGAUGGUUUUUAUUUUAAUUCGUCAGAGCCGAACGGCAUAAAAGGAUUAUGGUUAGAAAGAGUGAAAGGAAUAAGCACGGUACACCCGAUAAAUCCGUAGAGAAAGCUUCGACUAGAAAAAGUAGUCGACAGACGAGACGGAGGAAGAAGUCUACCUCGGAAUCAGAGCCAGAACCUGACAUUCCUGUUGAAAAAGAAACCAAGAGGGAAAAACAUGAGGAGAAGGCAGAAACUUCUGAUGCUCAUACCAGGCUCAGGCGAUCCGCCAGGACCAAAAAUACUCCAGACAUGGAAGCAGAGAUGGUAGAAAAAGCAAAGAGCGAAGAGGUGGUUGAAAACUCUGAUGACAAAGAAUGGAAGGAUGAUAGUAAAUUUUGGGAAGCUCAGCCUGCUAAGCCUGAAGAGGCUAAACCUGCUGAAAAUGAAGAAGAGGGCUUGACAUGGAAAGUUCAGAGCUCUAACGGAUCAGGUGGUGAGAUCCAGAAGCUGAAAAUUUGUAGGCAAAGAUUAACUGAUUCCGCCGAGUCUUCGUCUUCACCGACAAAGGAGACAACAUCUCCAAGAAGGAAGAGGUAUACAAAAAGGGCUACCAAAGAGAAGCACGACCCUGAGAGUGCCGAAUCGACCGGUUCUCAUACAGAUUCAGAAGCUCCACUUCAGAUAAACCCCGAAGAGAAUGUGAAACAGGAAGCACCGACUGAAAAGGAGAGUGCUGACAAAGAGGGAAAUCUCAGCGAGGAGAAAGCAGAAAAGACAACAGAGAAAGAGGUUGAAGUGCAGAAACCGGCAGACAUCGCUGAAACUCCGAUUGUUAAUCGGCCUUCGAUCCCGGAAAAAGAGGAAGGUGAACUAGACACUACUGUCGAGGGGUCCGACGUACAGAAAUCUAGUGAAUGUGAAUCUAUGGUGGUGGAAGCCAACCAGGUGGCAAUCAAUGAAGAGACUCAGGAUGAAAAAGAGGACUGUACAAAAGAAAAAAUAUCCACAAAAGAGCCAGUAAAUGAAAAGUUGGAAAAUGCAAGCAUUGAUAUCUCAUUAUCCAAUGAAAUUGCCAUGGAAGAGAUUGCUAUGGAGGAGAUUGCAAAGAAACUGAAUGAGAGGGCUGCAGCUAAGGGUGCUAAGGAGAUACCAGAGGAGAAGGAGAAGAAAGUGAACGAUAGCGCCAAAACGCCAGAUUCUGAUUUAGACACAACAAAAGAAGAAGGAGAAAUAUCCUCAGCUGCAGAAACUCCAGAACCUGUGAAAAAACAGACAAUGGAGUCACGAGCAAGACCGACUGCAUUGAAAAGGCUAACAGAGGAAAUACCAACUAGUCUGAGAAAAAGAAGGACAAGUAAACAAAUUAAACCACAGAAAGAUUCUCAAAUUGCCAUUUCUUCAUUAACGCUAAAGACUUUGGUUCCUGACGUUGCACCUGUGCCUUUGGAGGAAGUAAAAGAAAUGCUUACGAUUGAGAAGGAAGAAGCCGAGAAGAAAAAGUUGAUAUUAGAGUCGCAAGACGAUGGGGUGGCUGCAGAGGAAGACGAGGGUCCUGGAGGGCACGAGAGCAAGCACCUUAGAGAAUCCAAAGACAAGAAGUCUAAGACGCCUGAACGUAAGAGAAGCUUUAAGGAGGAGGGGUUGGAUAAUAAUGAGGUGAAGAAAAAAAAGAUUAUUAUCAAGCACAAGGAUGAGCCAAAGGUAGAUGUCAAAGUCAACAAUCAAGAAAAUCAUAAAGCUGCUAGGAAAAUAUCAAUUGUUUCUGAUGAUGCCAAAACAUUAAGGAAGUCACCGAGUCCAUCAGUUAAAAAAGCAACAAACAUAUUGUACAUAACCAAUCUUGUUAGGCCUUUUACUGUACCACAGUUAAAGGAGCUUUUAGCUCGAACAGGAACUUUGGCACCAAACGGUUUCUUUAUUGAUAAAAUCAAAUCUAAAUGUUAUGUCAAGUAUACGACUGUGGAAAUGGCUGUAGAGACGAGGCACGCCCUUCAUGGCGUCAGAUGGCCUGUCAACAACCCAAAGACAUUGAAAGUUGAAUUUUCAAAUGAACAAAACCUUAAUAUAAUGCUCCGACUUGCCGAGGAAGAGCACAACGCGGCGAUUAAACAAGAGGUAGCUGCCAUUGACAAGAAUGAAAGGCUUGAAGUCAAGGAAGCUACUUGGGGAAUUGAAAAGAACAUUAUCAAACCUUCAUCUCGACGGGUCACAACCUCAAUUAGGGAAUGGGACAUGGGCAAGAUGCCUGGCAAUGAAAACCAAGCUCCCAAUCAGACGCAGCUCGAGGUGAAAAAAGAAGAAUGGGUCAAAAAUAAGGAUAAAAACAAACUUGAUUCAGAAAACCGGAGGCGCCAGCACAGUCCAGAAAAAUCUGAAAUCCCUCGAAAACUAAAAAAGAAAGACAAUGAAGCUCCAGCUAAACUGUUAGACGGUCUCUUCCGGAAGACAAAAGCUACCCCUCGAAUAUAUUGGCUUCCUCUAACAACCGCACAGAUAGUGGUGAGAGAGGAGAUGAGGAGGCAACAAUUGGCCGAACACGAAAGGAGGUUGGCCCAAGCUGAACAGAGAAAGACAGAGUCGAGGAGGGAUAAAGAUAAAGAGAGAGAUAGGGAAAGAGAGAGGGACAGAGAUCGGGAUCGAGACCGGGAUCGAGAAAGGGUCCGUGAGAGGGAUAGGAGAAAGAAAUAAUGAAUAGAUGCAGAAUGGCAGAAUUUAUCUCUAUCUCUCUCUCCUGCAACUUACUCCACUCCAUGAUAGGGCUGUCCGUUCAACAAGUGUUAGGUCGAGGCUUGGAGGGUAGCUUAGUCUGGAAUCGCCGCUGAUAGCUUCAGCGCCUUCACAACCUUUGCUGACAAUUUUUCUCUCUCACACUUACAAUGGGAUACGAUAUCAUCAUUGGUGUUUCUUGCCUGAUUAACGUCUUACGAGUUUCCUUUGUCGAAGUGAGCCCGAAUUCUUCUCACUAAUAAAUAUUGGCACUUGCAACAAGAAUGCUGCCAUGAGAAAGGAAGCUGGCGAUUCUGCUCGUCACAAAGGAUGAUGGCCACCCGCUUGUCAAUGAGUCUGACUUCAAAUUCACCAGAGUGGUCCAGAGACACAAAAUACAUCCUUAAUUAUCAGUUUGCUACAAGAAAUUCAGUAGGCUAAUUGCCAAAAUACUUCAAACUAUCGGAAUUCUCUCUCAAAAAAAGAGACUGCAAUGACUCGCAACCACCCUACACAAUCUUUAUCAACAUCUCAUUCUUAUAUGUAAAUAGUGUCAAAUGAAUGUCUUAGCAAUGGAAUUAUGAAUAGAAUUUCAAUCAAUUUUGUACAAAACAACU